rnacentral:rRNA from 1 species
AGGGUUUGAUUAUGGCUCAGGAUGAACGCUGGCGGCGUGCUUAACACAUGCAAGUCGAACGGGAAACUUUUCAUUGAAGCUUCGGCAGAUUUGGUCUGUUUCUAGUGGCGGACGGGUGAGUAACGCGUGGGUAACCUGCCUUAUACAGGGGGAUAACAACCAGAAAUGGUUGCUAAUACCGCAUAAGCGCACAGGACCGCAUGGUCCGGUGUGAAAAACUCCGGUGGUAUAAGAUGGACCCGCGUUGGAUUAGCUAGUUGGCAGGGUAACGGCCUACCAAGGCGACGAUCCAUAGCCGGCCUGAGAGGGUGAACGGCCACAUUGGGACUGAGACACGGCCCAG